rnacentral:lncRNA from 1 species
GUGAGGACCCUUGACCUCUGGCCCAAGAUGGUGGCGCCCAGAGCUUCGCUCUUGCUGCUCCCCUGAGAGAGGCGUUUCCAUCAACCAGUUUUGCAAGGAGUUCAAUGAGAGGACAAAGGACAUCAAGGAAGGCAUUCCUCUGCCUACCAAGAUUUUAGUGAAGCCUGACAGGACAUUUGAAAUUAAGAUUGGACAGCCCACUGUUUCCUACUUCCUGAAGGCAGCAGCUGGGAUUGAAAAGGGGGCCCGGCAAACAGGGAAAGAGGUGGCAGGCCUGGUGACCUUGAAGCAUGUGUAUGAGAUUGCCCGCAUCAAAGCUCAGGAUGAGGCAUUUGCCCUGCAGGAUGUACCCCUGUCGUCUGUUGUCCGCUCCAUCAUCGGGUCUGCCCGUUCUCUGGGCAUUCGCGUGGUGAAGGACCUCAGUUCAGAAGAGCUUGCAGCUUUCCAGAAGGAACGAGCCAUCUUCCUGGCUGCUCAGAAGGAGGCAGAUUUGGCUGCCCAAGAAGAAGCUGCCAAGAAGUGACCCUUGCCCCACCAACUCCCAGAUUUCAAAGGAGGUAGUUGCAAAAGCUGUGCCCAAGGGGAGGAAGGAGGUCACACCAAUAUGAUGAUGGUUUUCAUGACUUUGAAUGAUAUAUUUUUGUACAUCUAGCUGUAUCGAGGCAUCAGGCCUGAAUAAACAUCCUUUCUUACCCA